UUUAUUUUAAUGAACUACUAAUUUUUUUGUCAGACAGCAGCUCUACACUUUAUUGACUGACUGAUCCAUUCAUCCUUCCAACCCUCCUCAGCCUUCCUCUCCUCUGAAGACCCAGUGAGGGUGGAGCUCAGUCAGAGAGCUGUUGAGGGACUGGUUAGGAAGAACACUUCUACAGCCAGAGAGGGGCAGUCAAGAAAUGGAACAGCAAGGCCACAGAACAUGACAUAAGCAGAGCUGUGGGAGACCACCUCAAGCCCCUGGUAGAGCAGGGGGUGGUGUUUACCACUCCACCACACCUUCAGCAGGCUGGAAAAUUAACCCUGAUAUUUUAAAAGCAGGGCAACAACGUCAAUAUAAUUGUACCCAAAAAUUGUCAGUUGGUUGCAUAAAUAAUUAUGAUUACUAAAUGUUACAUGAAAUGUAAAUAUUAAAUAUUCGGUUACAGUC